rnacentral:rRNA from 1 species
AGAGUUUGGAUCCUGGCUCAGGAUGAACGCUAGCGGCAGGCUUAAUACAUGCAAGUCGAGGGGCAGCAGGGGUAGCAAUACCCGCUGGCGACCGGCAAACGGGUGCGAAACACGUACGCAACCUUCCUUUAACUGGAGAAUAGCCCCUCGAAAGAGGGAUUAAUACUCCGUAACAUAUUGAUAAGGCAUCUUAUUAAUAUUAUAGUCUUCGGGCGGUUAAAGAUGGGCGUGCGCCUGAUUAGAUAGUUGGUGAGGUAACGGCUCACCAAGUCUGCGAUCAGUAACUGGUGUGAGAGCACGACCAGUCACACGGGCACUGAGACACGGGCCCGACUCCUACGGGAGGCAGCAGUAAGGAAUAUUGGUCAAUGGACGCAAGUCUGAACCAGCCAUGCCGCGUGGAGGAUUAAGGCCCUCUGGGUUGUAAACUCCUUUUAUCUGGGAAGAAAUGCCAUUUUUCUAAAUGGUUUGACGGUACCAGAGGAAUAAGCACCGGCUAACUCCGUGCCAGCAGCCGCGGUAAUACGGAGGGUGCAAGCGUUAUCCGGAUUCACUGGGUUUAAAGGGUGCGUAGGCGGGGCAGGUAAGUCCGUGGUGAAAUCUCUGAGCUUAACUCAGAAACUGCCAUGGAUACUAUUUGUCUUGAAUACUGUGGAGGUAAGCGGAAUAUGUCAUGUACGGUGAAAAUGCUUAGAUAUGACAUGGGAACACCA